UAAUAUUUAAAUGAAGCACCUCUUCUGUUCUCAUUAACAGUGUAAAAAAAUGUAUAGCAAUGAUCUUCAGUCAACCUCAUCUCUUGCUAGAAGCAGAGAGAAGAGAGUCCUAGCCUUGUCUACUUUGUGACAUUGUUGUCUAUCUUCUGUGAAGUCACCCCUGGUAUUUGUCACCAGAUCACACCAAGCUAAGCCAGAGACCAACAGCUGACCCUGGACUUGCCAAUGGGCACUUAACUUCUACCAGGCCAUAGGGAGGGUCUUCAUUUGGGU